CAUCACAGCAGUCAACAAUUGUUUUGUUGCAAUACUGCCCAACACCCCUAAAUAUAGGGGCCAACCGGGCCGGGUUCGAUGCGCUUGAUGAAAUAGCGGAGAGAGUGUUGAGUUAUUUGCUGGCUUAGGUAGUUGUGUACUGCUUCUUUGAAGUUAUUCUUGGAUUGUAGUGAUGGUUUCUGGAAAAGCGUUCCAAUUGACGAUCGUGCGGGCGAUGAAGGCAAAUUUAUAACAGUUUUCAUUGGUAGUGAUGGGUAUGAAGCUGUUGGAAGCUGGUGAUGUGUGUCUUACAUGUACAUUGUACAUGUAGAUUCCUUUCGACCAGACGCAGGAUGUUUUGCACUGGUACGGCGAGGCGACCUGCGAUCGCUUGUUGGAAGUUUGUGAGACGACAUACUGUUCUUCUCUGUUGUAGAUCUUCCCAGUUUAAGUCCUUUUCCAUUGCUGUGACACUACUUUUACGUCCAUAGUCCCCUGUGACGAAUCUAGCGGCCCUGUUUUGAAUUGCUUCCAGUUGGUCUAUGAGCUUUUUGGUAUGGGGUGCCAUACUGAGGAACAGCAGUCCAGUAUUGGUCUGACCAGGGUUUUAUAUGAGAUUUCUUUGAUAUGUAGCCCGUGAUUCUGUGGAAUGGCGCCCUCUGGGGUUGCGCGGCAAAAGUGUGCUUGUGCAUUGUUCGCCAUUUUGUCUGCGCGUUUUUCAACGUGUUCUCUGAAAAGUACGAGAGAUUUGUUCGAAAAAGUGCUUUAAGAGUGACUUAUUCAGUCUGUGGCUCUCAGAAUACGAGGAGGAAGUUCUCCUAAGUCAUAAGACCUGGGGUAGCAGUGUCCGUGUCCCUAUCAGCAGAGACGAGCUGAGAGGCUGUUGUCGACGGCGGCCAACCCGAGUACUGGCUUCACACUGUGCGGCGAGUUCAGCAGACACUGAGUUACCAUGGUUACAGGUCAGCAUUAGAUGACUGUCGUGUGAUUGUGGAUGAAGAGGAUUCAUCAAUUGUCUCCAGCCUGUCCAGAGCUACGGUGGAGUGAGACCAAAAUUGACACCCGUCAACUGAACUCUCAGAAGUUCCACGAACUAUUGGGAUCGACUCAGUCUUGAACUGAGGACUGCCAGACGUAACCGGUCCCGAACAGUUACUUUAAUAUUAGUGUACACACACACCGAGUGAGUUCCCGGGAACAAACAACUACAUGUACAUGUAUAGGGCCUGGUCGACCAUAUCCUGUUUUUUUUUGGAAACAUUGUAUUGCAUUUUUAUUGUACUGUUGUUGUGAGAGUUGUUCUAAGAAAUAACUAAGAAUAAAGAUUGAUUGUUUGAGAUCAUUCCAUA